CAAAAAACUCUUCCCUCCAUUUUGGAAAAGCGCAUCCUAAACAAAACAUUUCACACUAAGCUGCUCACUCCUCCGUUUCAUACCCACCGGCUCCCUCCUUACUUCAUCACUGAAUUUCACUCACUCAUCUCCCUCUUGUCUCCCUCACUUCACUCGAUCUCCUCUCCUCUCUUCUCUUCAGCGCCGCCGCGCUGUGACCACUGCUCCCACACCGCCCUGUCGUUGCUUUCUUCUUCUCUUUCCUCUUUAUUGUUGGUUGUGUUGUUCUUCUCCGCUACGUCGCCGCCGUUGUCGGUGGCCUCUGGUUCCAACUGUUGAUGCUUCAUCAUCUAUCCGGUAAGCCUUAGAGACCCCAUGCGCAGUGGUGCAGAUGACAGUGAGCUCAUGGAAAUAAUUGGAAGAGCGGUGAAAAGGAAGAAAGCUGCUCAUGCAGGAAUGUUUGACCUAGCAAAUACUGCAAAUAGACCGAUGAUACGCAUUGAUGGCUAAGGCUCGGUGGUGUAUCUUCUUUUAGAACCUUCAGGAGGUCAGUGGUUCAAGUUGUAGAAAGAUAUCUCUCAAACGUGUGUGGAGACUGUACAUUUGACUCCAUUCAUUAUCCUUCUUUUGAUUGGAGCAAAUGCACUGGUUUUCCUUUAUACAUGUUUCUCUGUAUUGGAAUCGUUAUGGCCAAUGGGUUAGAGGUGCUAUGUGUUCAUGGUGGUCUUUCUCCUGAUAUUCGGACAAUUGAUCAGGUUCUUGUCUGAUGUACUUACUUUCAUUGUAACUUGUGAUAUAUGCUGGUGUUGUGGGCAUUUUUU